rnacentral:rRNA from 1 species
GACGAACGCUGGCGGCGUGCUUAACACAUGCAAGUCGAACGGAAAGGCCCUGCUUUUGUGGGGUGCUCGAGUGGCGAACGGGUGAGUAACACGUGAGUAACCUGCCCUUGACUUUGGGAUAACUUCAGGAAACUGGGGCUAAUACCGGAUAGGAGCUCCUGCUGCAUGGUGGGGGUUGGAAAGUUUCGGCGGUUGGGGAUGGACUCGCGGCUUAUCAGCUUGUUGGUGGGGUAGUGGCUUACCAAGGCUUUGACGGGUAGCCGGCCUGAGAGGGUGACCGGCCACAUUGCGACUGAGAUACGGCCCAGACUCCUACGGGAGGCAGCAGUGGGGAGUAUUGCACAAUGGGCGGAAGCCUGAUGCAGCAACGCCGCGUGCGGGAUGACGGCCUUCGGGUUGUAAACCGCUUUCGCCUGUGACGAAGCGUGAGUGACGGUAAUGGGUAAAGAAGCACCGGCUAACUACGUG